rnacentral:rRNA from 1 species
GACAGAGGGUGCAAACGUUGUUCGGAAUUACUGGGCGUAAAGCGCGUGUAGGCGGUUCGUAAAGUCGGAUGUGAAAGCCCUGGGCUUAACCCAGGAAGUGCAUUCGAAACUCACGAACUUGAGUCCCGGAGAGGAAGGCGGAAUUCUCGGUGUAGAGGUGAAAUUCGUAGAUAUCGAGAGGAACAUCGGUGGCGAAGGCGGCCUUCUGGACGGUGACUGACGCUGAGACGCGAAAGCGUGGGGGGCAAACAGG